CAAAAGCUUGGUCCUGACUUUACUAUCAACUUUAGCUUAACUUACACAUGCAAGUAUCCGCACCCCAGUGAAAAUGCCCCACAGUCCCCCGCCCGGAGACAAGGAGCUGGUAUCAGGCACACAACAUCAAGCCCACGACACCUUGCUUAGCCACACCCCUAAGGGUAUACAGCAGUGAUAAAUAUUAAGCCAUAAGUGAAAACUUGACCUAGUCAAAGCUAAAAGGGCCGGUAAAACUCGUGCCAGCCACCGCGGUUAUACGAGAGGCCCAAGUUGAUAGACUCACCGGCGUAAAGGGUGGUUAAGAGUAAACUAAAACUAAAGCUGAACAUCUUCAAAGCAGUUAUACGCUCCCGAAGAUAAGAAACUCAACUACGAAAGUGGCUUUAUAACCCUGAACCCACGAAAGCUAUGGCACAAACUGGGAUUAGAUACCCCACUAUGCUUAGCCUUAAAAAUUGAUAAUACACUACACUUAUUAUCCGCCUGGGCACUACGAGCAUCAGCUUAAAACCCAAAGGACUUGGCGGUGCUUUAGAUCCCCCUAGAGGAGCCUGUCCUAGAACCGAUAAUCCCCGUUAAACCUCACCCCCCCUUGUUCCACCAGCCUAUAUACCGCCGUCGCCAGCUUACCCUGUGAAGGACCUAUAGUAAGCAUAAUUGGUACAACCCAGAACGUCAGGUCGAGGUGUAGCUUAUGGGAGGGAAAGAGAUGGGCUACAUUCCAUAACACAUGAAAUACGAACGAUGUAUUGAAAAACACAUCCGAAGGAGGAUUUAGUAGUAAGUAGAAAAAAGAGUAUUCUACUGAAACCGGCCCUGAAGCGCGUACACACCGCCCGUCACUCUCCCCACAUCUUAUGUUUUAAGUAACUAAAACCCUACCACCUUAAAGGGGAGGCAAGUCGUAACAUGGUAAGUGUACCGGAAGGUGCACUUGGAAAAAC
rnacentral:ncRNA from 1 species